rnacentral:rRNA from 1 species
GACGAACGCUGGCGGCGUGCUUAACACAUGCAGGUCGAGCGGUAAGGCCCUUUCGGGGGUACGACGAGCGGCGAACGGGUGAGUAACACGUGGGUGACCUGCCCUCAGCUCUGGGAUAAGCCUGGGAAACCGGGUCUAAUACUGGAUAUGACUCCAUGACGCAUGUUGUGGGGUGGAAAGCCUUGUGCGGCUGAGGAUGGGCCCGCGGCCUAUCAGCUUGUUGGUGGGGUGANGGCCUACCAAGGCGACGACGGGUAGCCGGCCUGAGAGGGCGACCGGCCACACUGGGACUGAGACACGGCCCAGACUCCUACGGGAGGCAGCAGUGGGGAAUCUUGCGCAAUGGGCGAAAGCCUGACGCAGCGACGCCGCGUGAGGGAUGACGGCC